AUAUCACAAAAACCUCAUCCGAUAAUUGUUAAGUAUUGUUCAAAUUAGUGAAUAAGUAACAAUUAUUGUAUGAGGUUUUUGUGAUAU
rnacentral:miRNA from 1 species